rnacentral:rRNA from 1 species
AGAGUUUGAUCAUGGCUCAGAGUGAACGCUGGCGGCGUGCUUAACACAUGCAAGUCGAACGAGAACGGUCCUAGCUUGCUAGGAUGUCAGCUAAGUGGCGGACGGGUGAGUAAUGUAUAGUUAAUUUGCCCCUUAGAGAGGGAUAACAGUUAGAAAUGACUGCUAAUACCUCAUACUCCUUCUUUCUUAAUGAGAGUUGGGAAAUGUUUUUUCGCUAAGGGAUGAGACUAUAUGGUAUCAGGUAGUUGGUAGGGUAAGAGCCUACCAAGCCAAUGACGCCUAGCUGGUCUGAGAGGAUGAUCAGCCACACUGGAACUGAGACACGGUCCAGACUCCUACGGGAGGCAGCAGUGGGGAAUAUUGCACAAUGGAGGAAACUCUGAUGCAGCAACGCCGCGUGGAGGAUGACGCAUUUCGGUGUGUAAACUCCUUUUAUAUGGGAAGAUAAUGACGGUACCAUAUGAAUAAGCACCGGCUAACUCCGU